rnacentral:rRNA from 1 species
UACGUAGGGUGCGAGCGUUGUCCGGAAUUACUGGGCGUAAAGCGUGCGCAGGCGGUUUUGUAAGCCAGAUGUGAAAGCCCCGGGCUUAACCUGGGAAUGGCAUUUGGGACUGCAAGGCUUGAGUGCGGCAGAGGAGACUGGAAUUCCUGGUGUAGCAGUGAAAUGCGUAGAUAUCAGGAGGAAUACCGAUGGCGAAGGCAGCUCUCUGGGACGGUACUGACGCUGAGACGCGAAAGCGUGGGGAGCGAACAGG